UGGCUCAGACGGUAAAGCGUCUGCCUACAGUGCAGGAGACCUGGGUUCAAUCCCAG
rnacentral:tRNA from 1 species